rnacentral:rRNA from 1 species
GUCUGAUUAGCUAGUUGGCGGGGUAACGGCCCACCAAGGCGACGAUCAGUAGCCGGACUGAGAGGUUGAACGGCCACAUUGGGACUGAGAUACGGCCCAGACUCCUACGGGAGGCAGCAGUGGGGAAUAUUGGGCAAUGGGCGCAAGCCUGACCCAGCAACGCCGCGUGAAGGAAGAAGGCUUUCGGGUUGUAAACUUCUUUUAAGAGGGAAGAGCAGAAGACGGUACCUCUAGAAUAAGCCACGGCUAACUACGUGCCAGCAGCCGCGGUAAUACGUAGGUGGCAAGCGUUGUCCGGAUUUACUGGGUGUAAAGGGCGUGCAGCCGGGUCUGCAAGUCAGAUGUGAAAUCCAUGGGCUCAACCCAUGAACUGCAUUUGAAACUGUAGAUCUUGAGUGUCGGAGGGGCAAUCGGAAUUCCUAGUGUAGCGGUGAAAUGCGUAGAUAUUAGGAGGAACACCAGUGGCGAAGGCGGAUUGCUGGACGAUAACUGACGGUGAGGCGCGAAAGUGUGGGGAGCAAACAGGAUUAGAUACCCUGGUAGUCCACACUGUAAACGAUGAAUACUAGGUGUGCGGGGACUGACCCCCUGCGUGCCGCAGUAAACACAAUAAGUAUUCCACCUGGGGAGUACGAUCGCAAGGUUGAAACUCAAAGGAAUUGACGGGGGCCCGCACAAGCGGUGGAUUAUGUGGUUUAAUUCGAAGCAACGCGAAGAACCUUACCAGGGUUUGACAUCCUGCUAACGAAGUAGAGAUACAUUAGGUGCCCUUCGGGGAAAGCAGAGACAGGUGGUGCAUGGUUGUCGUCAGCUCGUGUCGUGAGAUGUUGGGUU